GUCUCUGGCUUCAGUGCAUUUAAUCGAGGAAAUCUUUCGCCUUUUACCAAAGAUUUCCGUGCACGGAAGCAAUGUAUGAGUAUUCGCCGAUUUUUGCUGGUAGGGGUGUGGUAGACA
rnacentral:snRNA from 1 species